UUUUACUCGAGGUGUGUUUUUUAGUCGAGGCGGGCUUUUUAUUCGUUUUUUUUACUCGACGUAUAUUUUGUAACGGUGAGUUUUUUUUACUCGAGGUGUGAUUUUUACUUGGGGCGGGCUUUUUACUCGUUUUUAUAUACUCCAGAUAUAUUUUGUAAUUCGGUGGGAUAUUUACUCGAGGUGUGUUUUUUAACUCAAGCCAGAGUCGAGGUUAGUUUUUUACCCGUGGGAUAUUUUAUUCGAGUUGCUUUUUUUUUUACACGAGUCGAGAUGGGGUUUUUUUUACUUGAGGCGGGCUUUUAAACUCGUUUCUUUUGAUCGAUGUUUUUCUGCUUUUUUACUCGGUGUGAUUUUUAGUUGAGGUGUGUUUUUAAUCGAGGCGGGCUUUUUACUCCUGUUAUUUUUUAUUAGAAGUAUAAUUUUAGUCGAGGCGGGCUUUUUACUCUUUUUCUUCCCGAGGUGUGUUUUUUAUUUGAACUUUUUUUUAGUCGAGGUGGGCUUUUUACUCGUGGUUUCCUUUUGCUCGAGGUAUUUUAACUCGGUAUGCUUUUAACGUGUGUUUUGUACUCGAGAUGUAUUUUUUUUAGUCAAGGCGGGCAUUUUAUUGAUGGUUUCUUUUAACUUGAGAUAGGGGUUGAACCCGAGCUGUGCUUUUUGCUCGUUUUUUUCACUCGUUAGUUGUUUUACUCAAGGUGUUUUUGUAACUGGGCGGUAGUUGUUUAGUCGGGGUGGGUGUUUAGGCGGGCUGGUUGUUUACUGGAGCAGGUUGUUUACAUGGGGGGUUGUCCACUCGAGCUGUACUUGCGACGCGCGCCGGCUUCGGACACUUUCUCCGCCACGGUUUCCCGCUCAAAAAACCGUCUUGCUAAUUGGACGAAGUCCGAAGUCCGAUCAGCGCUGGGGGCGGGUGCAGCGAGUGUUUAAAAGGCGGACGGGUCCGGCUCCCGCCUCCAGUCACGGAGCCGCUCGAGUGACGAAACAUCGUGGUCGCCAGCUCCCAUUGCCAGCACAUGUACCUCGUUAGUUGUUUUUUCGUGGUAUGGUUUAUUUUUAACUCGAUGUGCUUUUUAUUCCAGUUACAUUUUUUACUUUAGGCGGGCUUUUUACGAGAUAUGUUUUUUUUUUAACACGGUAGGAAUUUUAUUCGAGGUGUGAUUUUUAGUCGAGGCGGCUUUUUUACGUUAUUUUUUCCCCCCCUCAAAUGUGUUUUUUUUUGUCGAAGCCAGCUUUGUACUGGAGAUGGGCGUUUGCUUCGUCGAGGCGGGCUUUUUACUCGUGCUUUUUUUAACCCACGGUUUAAAAAAUAUUUUGCUAUGUGUUUUGUAACUCGAUGUACUUUUUAUUCGAGGCUUGUUUCUCAGUAAGGUGGGAAUUUGACUCGUUCUUUGUGACUCGGAGCGUCCGUUUUUUAACUCGAGGUGUGGUUUUUUUUACUAGAGGUGGGGUUUUUAAUCUGUUUAUUUUAUCUCCUAGUAUAUUUUAUCUCCUAAUUAUUUUACUCGGUAUGUUGUUUACCUCAAGGUGGGUUUUUUUAGUCGUGUUCGUGUUUUUUAGUCGAGGCGAGCUUUUUACUCGUGAUUUCUAUUUACUCGACAUGCGUUUUUAACUCGUAUGUUUUUACUUGACCUGUACUUUCUCCUCAAGUUGGCUGUUUUACUCGAGGAGUUUUUGUAACUUGAGUCGGGUGGUUGUUUAGGCGGGGCAGGUUGCUUACUGGGAGCAGAUUGUUUACUGGAGCAGAUUGUUUACAUGAGGGGUUGUCCACUGGUGCUGUACUUGUGGCGGGCGCGGGUUUCGCCGACAGCGGAAAGUUUCUCCGCUUCGAUUUGUCGCUCAAAAUCCCCCUCGUGUUCAUUGGACGAAGCCCGAGGACCCUUCAGCGUUGGUCACUCUUGUUUUUACUCGAGGUAUAUAUUGUUUUAAACUCUAUGUUCUUUUUACUCGAGCUCAGUCUUACUUUAGGCGGGCUUUUUACUCGUUUUUUUAAAUCCAAGACAUGUUUUUUUAACUCGGGUGUGAUUUUUAGUCGAGGCUGACUUAUAAUUUUUAGUUGCAAUCAGCAUUUUAUUGGAGAUGGAUGUUUAUUUCGUCGAGGCGGGAUUUUUAUAAGUGUUUUUUUAACUAUCGGUAUUUUAUUUUAUGUUUUUAGUCGAGGCGGACUUUUUUUUACUGGUGAGGACUUGAAUCUGCGCUCCGUCAAAGCCGCGAGUCACCGUUUUACCCGAAGACGUUGGCGCGUCUACAAGCUUACCCCGCCUGGUCCAACCAUUGCUCUUGAAAGUGCAGCUGAAUGUAAGGUGCAGGAAUACACCUUUGAUCCCGCAGGCAGGAGAUAGUAAUCAUCUGAGACCGACUACCUAGGUGAGUCUGAUAACACUUGGAGAAUCGUGUUGUGUUGACGGGUGUUACGAUGAAUUCCUACACGAUUAGGCGAUGGAUCGAAUGUCUGAUCAGUAGCUAAAAACUGUUUCUUUGCAAUGGCUAUGAUGGUAAUUUUGACAGAAGGACAAGGAGCGUCACAUAAAGCCAGCGAAUAUCCGAUAAUGAAGCCUCCUUGCCAGAGAUGGGAACCCCCACCAGCGACUCAAUAUUGGCUAAAAUAAAGUGAAAGGACUCAAAUGGAAAGAAAAGACCCACCCAGGAAAAAAGCAAGAACAGUAAAACUGAUGCAGCUUAUCUCUGGGAAAAGUCGAGACAUAUGGAGACAACAUCAAUGGGGAACCAGGUGUUUUUUAGUCUGGGUGGACUUUUUACUGGUGAGGAUGUGAAUUUGUGCACAGUCCAUGCUGUGAGCCACCGUUUUACCCGAAGGCAUUGGCGCGUCUAUAUACUUAACCCACCUGGUCCAACCAUAGCUCUUGAAAGAGCCAGCGAAGGUAAGGUGCAGGAAUAAGCCUAUGAGCGCAUUGGCAGGGGACAGUCCUUGCCUGAGGCUGACAAACAGGGUGAGUAUGAUAACACUUGGAGAAUUGUGUUUGUGUUGAUGGGUGUGUUACAAGGGAACAGUUUAAAGGAUCUGACUACUAGAAUAGGAAAAAGGCUCACUCACAAAUCAGAUUUAUUGGCAAGAGAGAAUAAAAAUAUUUGUCUUGGUAUGCGUGGGUCUGUUUUACAGCAGCACACCUCUCUGCCUCCAUCUGUGGCCCUGAUCGCGACUCAGCCCAUUGGUGAACACUUCAUACAUGAACUAACUUAUGGCUUCCUGGCACCAUCCUUUAUACAGGUAAGAAAUCAGCUGUUGAAAAAACCGCCAGUAAGUCCUGGCCAAUAGAGCUUCUCCCACAUUCAAACUAUAACCAAUGGCAGGGGACUGCAUCCCAGCAAGCCCCGCCGCACCCUUCUUUGGGAACAAAGCGCUAUCAGCUGCAGAAUUGCAUGUAAAGCAAUACACACAGCGCUAAAGACUUGGUGCGCAAAUCAAUACACGCAGAGCUACAGACUUGGCAUACAAAUCAAUACAUGCAGAGCUACAGACUUGGUGCGCAAAUCAAUUCACAUAGCGCAAAAGACUUGGCAUGCAAAUCAAUGCACAGAGCUACAGACUUGGUGCGCAAAUCAAUGCACAGAGCUACAGACUUGGUGCGCAAAUCAAUACACGCAGAGCUACAAACUUGGCGUACAAAUCAAUACAUGCAGAGCUACAGACUUGGUGCGCAAAUCAAUUCUCAUAGCGCAAAAGACUUGGCGCGCAGAUCAAUGCACAGAGCUACAGACUUGAUGCGCAAAUCAAUGUACAUAGAGCUACAGACUUGGUGCGUAAAUCAAUGCACAGAGCUACAGACUUGGUAUACAAAUCCAUACACACAGCGCUAAAGACGGCACUCAAAUCUAUUCACCAGCGAUGCAGACUUAGUGCGUAAAGGUAAUACACGGUACUGCCAAUUUGGUGUGCAAAAGUUUAAACAAUGCUGUCGGCUUAAUGCGCAGAAAUUUAAACAAAGAGCUAUCAGCUGCAGAACUUUGGUUCUAAAUAUAGUGUUACUGGCCACAGCACAUUGGACUUUAAACACAACGCUAUGGGUCAGUGACUGUUCAGGCAAAAUUCUUGUAUAAUGGUGUUAUGGUGAAUUCCUGAGCUAAUAGGCGAUGGAUCAAAUGUCUUCAGUAGCUAAAAGCUGCUUCUUUGCAAUGGUUGAUGGUAAUUUUUUUAACGUGUGAAUUUUAGUCAAAGCCAGCUAUUUAUUGAAGAUUGUUGUUUGCUUAGUUGAGGCAUGCAUUUUAUUUGUGCUUUUUUAAACUUUUUUUACUCUUUGUCUCGAGGUGUUUUUUAGGCGAGGCGGACUUUUUACUGGUGAGGACACAAAUCUGCGCACUAUUCAGUCUGCGAGUCACCAUCAUACCCAAAGACAUUGGCGCGUCUACAAGCUUAUCCCACCUGGUCCAACCGUAGGUCUUGAAAGAACCACCAAAGGUAAGGUGCAGGAAUAAGCCUUUGAGCCCGUUGGCAGGAGAUAGUGAUCACCUGCGGCCGACUACCAGGGUGAGUAUGAUAACACUUAAAGAAUCAUGCUUGUGUUGAUGAGUGUAAUGAUGAAUUCCUGUGCUAAUAAGCGAUGAAUCAAAUGUCUGAUCAGUUGCCAAAAACUGCCUUUUUGCAAUGGCCCUGAUGAUAAUUUUGACAGGAGGACGAGUGUCAUAUAAAACCAGAGAAUAUCUGAUAAUGAAGUUUCUCCUUGCAGGGAUAGGAACCCCCACCAGUGACUCAAUACUGGCUAAAAGAAAGUGAAAGAGAUACAAAAUGGAAAGAAAAGAUCCAUCCAGGAAAAACAAAGAGCAAGAACAUCAAAACUGAUUAUCUCCGGGAAAAGCCAAGAGAUCACAGACCUCUGGAGAUGGAGACAACAUCAAUGGGGAAAUCUGGUUGGUCGCUCUUGAUAUUCUUUGGUUUACUUGUUUCUACUCAUUGGUUACUUUUGUUUUUACUUGUUUUUUUUAACUUGUAGAUUUUUAACUUGGGAUGGGUUUUUUAAUUAAAGCUAGCUUUGUACUUAUGGUUUAUAUUACUCUGUGCGUUUGUAAUUGUUUAGUCGGGGUGGGUGGCUGGUUGUUUACUGGAGCAGGUUGUUUACAUGAGGGGUUGUCCACUCGUGCUGUACUUGCUGCGGGAUUCGCCGACAGCAGAAUCGUUCUCGGAUUCGGUUUCCCGCUCAAAAAUCCGUUCAUACUAAUUGGACGCAGCCCGAGGUCCGAUCAGCGUAGGGUCCAGGUGCUGCUAGAUUGACGGGCCGGGCUCCCGCCUCCAGUCAUGGAGCUACAUGUCCACAGGGAGCUCCGCAGUUCCAAGAUCGCUCUGACAGGAGUGCAGCGUUAGGUCGCAUCGCUUCCCCACCUGGUGCUGUGACAUCCAGUGCUUCCAGCAAUCCAACAAAUUGCUCCUUCCACUCCCACAAACAGGUGAUCACUCUGGACAGAAGGAUGGGCCAGAGCUUGGUUGUACUAGCACUUCCUGUAGGCCAAUUCAAUGGUGGUUUGGGCAGUAUUUGUGACAGAUCGGUCAGUGCAUUAGUGAAGGCAGCAAUUAGCUCCUUUGUCUUACAAAGGCAGAGAGUGAGAUACUUGUUCUGACAAAACUCAAUUGUAUUGUAGGUAAUACCGUGGAUUUGAAUGGAAAAGCCGCGCUGCCUGGAAUCCCACGAGGUGCUCCUGAGGGAGGUCAUCCAAGAUCUAUUUGAAGAAUGAGCUUGGAUGUCGUAGACUCACUGAAGGCCAGUGAGCUUAACUUGGCCGGGUUGUGGACGUGAUCCUGCAUGUGAUCGUGCACGUGAUCCGUCCACGGAGAGAAUUUGUCCCCUGUCCGAGAAGAUGAAGUACAUCUAUGACCUUCCGUCGUCCAGUACAACUAAAGGUCUGGUCAUACCAUGGAUCUGAAUGGAAAUCCCACAGCACUGCCUGGAACCCCACGAGGUGCUCCUUAGGGAGAUAAUCCGAGAUCUAUCUGAAGGAUGAAAUCAGUGCAACCGGAGCUCAGAAGUCAUCGACUCACUGAAGGCCAGUGGGCUUAACCUGGCCAGGUUGUGGACGUGAUCCUGCACGCGAUCCUGCACGUGAUCAGUCCACGGAGAGAAUUUGUCCCUUGUCCGAGAAGAUGAAGUACAUCUACAACCUUCCUUCGUCCAGUACAACUAAAGGUCUGGUAAGAGCUGCUGAAUAUUUUACUCCCUUAGUCUGCUGUUUGCAUUUAUUGGGUCUGGAUGUUCUAUUUCUUUAUUUGUAAUGCUUAAUUAAGAAACGUGCAAGUGUAGUUCAGAUGAAGAAUUGAUGUUCAGACUUGGUAUCAUGUGUCAUAAUUUAUUAGUAAAUCAUAGUGACAACUUAAAGUGCAGUAACAGAAAUAUUCAAGUUUAUCUUCUACUGAGCACCACAUCCCUCCUCCAACAUAUGGAUGCUGGUGUGAUUAGCAUGUUUAAUUUUAUUAUCUCAAUAAAAAUCAUUACAUACUAUAUAAUACACAUAUAUUGCCAUAUCUGAGUUACUGUGUGGAGAUAUGGGGUAACACCUACAAAACCAACCUACAGCCAUUAUGCACAUUACAAAAAAGAGCAAUAAGAAUUAUCAAUAACGUUGGAGAUAUUGAACAUACCAAUUUAUUAUUCUUAAAGUCACAUACACUGAAGUUCACUGAUCUGGUUAAAUUUAAGACUCCACAAAUCAUGUACAAAGCAAGAAAUAAUUUACUUCCAGGAAAUAUACAAAAACUGUUCAUGGAAAGACAGGGUGGGUAUAAUUUGAGAGGGGAACAUAAUUAAAAAAAACUAAAUGUCAGAACAACUUAAAGGUAUGUGCAUAGCAAUCUGUAGGGUGAAUUUGUGGAAUCGUCUGGAACAGGAGAUAAAACUUAGCACAAAAAUGAUUCAGUUUAAAAAGAUGUACUAAAACACUUUUUUAAAAGGAUAUUGGGAUGAGGAUAGGUGAUUGUGAGUGGGAUAUUUGUUAUACUGAUUGUAUUGGGAAGGGUGAUUAUAGGUUGGUGGGUUGUAUAUAUGACUAAGAUACUGUAUAGUAUAAGGAUUUUUUCUUUCUUUUUCUUUUUUUCUCUCUUUUUUUGUAAUGGCUAUGUAAAUAUUUGGUUAGUCUAUAAAAUGUAAAUAAUUUGGUGUACAUAUUAACUGCUGGUGUACAUAUGAUGUACAUAUAGCUGCUAAAUUUGUAUAAGAUAAUUAUAAGCAGUUGAAUAAGGGGUGUGAAUUAAUAAGCUUUAGCUUCUUCCUGCUCCUUUUCGGCCACAUACAAAUUCAUUUAUUUAUAGAUAUUAUUUAUGACACUAUAAAUAUCCUUGUUUUGUUUUUUGUAUGCAGUUUCACACUUGCUUUUUAUUCUUUUAUUCUGUUAUAAAUAAUUUAAAAAAUAAAAAUAAAAAUGAAAUAUUUGAUGCUGUCAUGAAGGCUG